GACGAACGCUGGCGGCGUGCCUAAUACAUGCAAGUAGAACGCAUAGGCGCACGGGUGAGUAUAACGUAGGUAACUGCCCCAUUGCGGGGGGUAACAAUUGGAAAAGAUAGCUAAUACCGCAUACUGUGAGAUGUACCUGAGGUGUAUUAGGUAGUUGGGGGGGUUAAGGCCCAACAAGGCGACGAUCCAUAGCCGACCUGAGAGGGGUGACCGACACACCUGGACUGGGACACGGGCCAGACUCCUACGGGAGGGCGCAGUAGGGAAAUUUUGGCAAGGGACGGAAGUCUGACCGAGCAACGCCGCGUGAGUGAAGAAGGGUUUCGGAGUGUAAAGCUCUGUUGUGAGAGAAGCGGUAACUAAAGAGAAAGGGACGGCUAACUACGUGCCAGCAGCCGCGGUAAUUC
rnacentral:rRNA from 1 species